rnacentral:rRNA from 1 species
CUUGUAGGCGGUUUGUCGCGUCUGCCGUGAAAAUCCGGGGCUCAACUCCGGACUUGCGGUGGGUACGGGCAGACUAGAGUGUGGUAGGGGAGACUGGAAUUCCUGGUGUAGCGGUGAAAUGCGCAGAUAUCAGGAGGAACACCGAUGGCGAAGGCAGGUCUCUGGGCCGUUACUGACGCUGAGGAGCGAAAGCGUGGGGAGCAAACA